GACAGCCGCGCGGAAAAAGGGCCAUUAAACUGUAGAAAAGACGUGGCGACAGGGCUCGAGGAGAUAACUGCCGAUGACAUCUGAGCUGCGAGUUGAGUCGGAAAAACCUUCCAACCACAACGGGACCAACCACCCACGAGAACGGUCCCAACAUGUACCUCGCAAUUUUCAGUUUCUGCAUUUUAUUCCGGCUCAUAACAACAGCUCCUCCUCUUCAAAAAUUACUGAUCAAGGAGGAGCCGCUGACAUUGCAGGCAGCCCUCGAGGAUCGCCAUCGCUCCUGCAACCUCGAUUUAUCUUCAUAGCACCAGACAGACCACAGAUGUACAAUCAGACCCCUUUCUCACCCCAGGGCCAGGGCCAGGGGGGCCAGGCCGAGCCUAACGCAAUAGUGCUCAGCCGAAAUGGAAUUAAACAGAUAAAACUUGGUGAAGCUACUGACAGAAACGAAAUCCCUUUCCCUCCGCCUAGCUUCCGGGACUUUGUAGCACUGGAUGCUCAGGACGACAUGAUGCUCAAUCAACGAACCCCAUCAAUGAAGUACGCUUCCGAAGCCAGCACUGAGGAGGACUCCUUGGAGGGAAUGGGUCGGCAGGGGCUCAAUCCAUUCUCGCUGUUGAGCAGUGUGCUAGGAGGAGGCGGUUCCAGAGAAAAUAGAGGCGACAGGGACCAGAGACCCCGAGAGCAAGGCUCCUUAAUGGUCUCCUUACGCUUCCUGAGAUCUUUUUAUCCAUAACAUAGAACUUUAAGUAGAGCUUGAGUUCUAUUCAUGUAGUUUUAACCUGAUUGAGGAUUAGAUUUCGAUUCUCAACAGCUGUAGUGUUUCGUUUGAUUUUAUACCAACAUACUGCGGUAAUUGUAAGUGAAUAAUAGGUAACUGCUUUUAUUCUUUUGUUGCUUUUGACGAUUAAAAACAUGAUACUUAAUUUCACUGGUACUAGUCACUUGGACCGCCUUAAGCAAAAAGGAGUCAAGCCACAUCAGUCAUUGCCAGAUUUAAUUGGGUAAUUUGAUUUUUAACAUGAAAACGGUUGUGCGGAUUUUGUGCUUUCAGUGAAUUUUCUGCAAAAUGCGAGGGCAAUUCCUUAAAAUUUUCAAAGGAAUCCGCAUCAACAUUCUCUUGUACAGAAUUGAAAUACCCAGUUGAAUUUGGCGAUAGCUGAUAAAGCUGGUUCCUUUUGCUAAAAGCGGUCCACUUACAAUUCUUUCGCGUACCUAAUUGUUUUAAAUACAAAAUAUCUAAGUGUUAAAUAUAAAAAGUAGGAAACGUAAAAUUAACAGAGCCUUCAUUUUAUAACUGCAAAAUAAUGAGACAGAUGCCCAAGCCAGUUCAAAGUGACACAAGGCUUGCUCAAACACAGGGCCGGUUUGUAGGAGGCUGGUUCACAGUGGGCAAAACUCCCGAUUUGGCAUCAGAAAAGUCUAAGAGUGAAUUUAGGGAAAAUAAAAAUGAAAUUUAUGAAACCAUGCAGUUCCAUGUAUGUGGACCUCAGAUCAACCAAUUUUUGUAUACAGAAAAACUGUGCGCAGCUUUUAAAAAAUAUUGAUUGAUAUUGAAGCAUUAAUUGUGCUUUGCAACGUUGCAAUCGAGGUAAAUAAACUCCUUAUCGCGUUGAGCCAUCGAUAUUUGAGUUCGUUUACGGUAGGCGUAACAAACAACUAUUUGACCACGGGUGUGAUCAUGUUGCAGCUCCGCCGAAUUGCAGGCGCGUCAAACUGCGAAGAUGUCUUGACCGCCCUGCUGACCCUCGCGGGUGGGACGGACGCUAA
rnacentral:lncRNA from 1 species